CUACGGGACGCAGCAGUGGGGAAUCUUGGACAAUGGGCGCAAGCCUGAUCCAGCCAUGCCGCGUGAGUGGAGAAGGCCUUAGGGUCGUAAAGCUCUUUCGCCAGAGAUGAUAAUGACCGUAUCUGGUAAAGAAACCCCGGCUAACUCCGUGCCAGCAGCCGCGGUAAUACGGAGGGGGUUAGCGUUGUUCGGAAUUACUGGGCGUAAAGCGCGCGUAGGCGGAUUAGUCAGUCAGAGGUGAAAUCCCAGGGCUCAACCCUGGAACUGCCUUUGAUACUGCUAGUCUUGAGUUCGAGAGAGGUGAGUGGAAUUCCGAGUGUAGAGGUGAAAUUCGUAGAUAUUCGGAGGAACACCAGUGGCGAAGGCGGCUCACUGGCUCGAUACUGACGCUGAGGUGCGAAAGUGUGGGGAGCAAACAGGAUUAGAUACCCCGGUAGUC
rnacentral:rRNA from 1 species